AAUUGAUGGGGGAAAUGAGGAAAAGAAAAUCUUUUUUAAAAUGAUUUCAAGGUUUGUGCUGAGCUCCUUGAUUGCCUUAGGGACAGAAUUACCCCAGCCUCUUGAGCUGAAGUAAUGUGUGGGCCGCAUGCAUAAAGUAAGUAAGGUGCAAUGAAGAAGUGUUGAUUGCCAAAUUGACGUGUUUUCACAUUUUCAUUGUGAAUUAUGUAAAAUUGCAAAGAGAUAUACCCUCUAAAAAAGAGUUUUAGUGUGGUGUUGAAGAAAUUAAGAAUGAAUUCGAAGUGCUUUCUAUGUACAUUCUCUUCUUCAAUACUGACAACUUGUCCUUGACCUUCUGUAUUAACUGUAGCUCUUCCGUAGGGCAGUUGUUGCUUCUUAUUUCAGUUCUGUAUGUGUUCAACAUUCUUGAAUACAUUAAAAGAAGUAACCAACUGAAUGAAAAAGCAUGGUAUUUGAAUUUUAAAUUAAACUGAAGUAAAUAAAAGUACAAAGCUUGUUUUAGUUAGUACUAAAUUCUUAGUAAAAAGAUGCUCAUUAGUAAACCAGCCCCUUGAGUUACGUAACAAGGUUUUUAAAUAAAUGUUUUUGUCAUCGCCUUCAAAAAUACUUAUGUCACUCAUUUACUUAAAAAGAUAUUUCUAAUUAAACUGUUCCCAUUUGCACUUACACUAUACCACCAACAGGAAAGCCUUCAAGAUGUUAAAUAAAACAAAGUGAUAUCUUUGUUUAUAAAAUGUUGUGUUGUAGAAAAAUACUGAUUUUAAAUCUUUUCCAUAUUAACAUACUUUAACAGAGUAUCCUUAGUGAAUUUUUUAAUGAAAGUGUAAGGAUAUAGUUAUAAAAAGUACAGUAUUAGAUGUACACGAGAGUUAUUUUCUUCAGACGUAUUUGAAUGACUGCUGUACUACAAUAUUUGGAUUGUCAUUCUUACAAAACUUUUUUUUUUUUUUUUUUGGUUUUCUCCUAAAAAGGAUAGUUGUGCUUGAGCUUUCCAAUAUGCUGUAUAGCCUUUGUUGUUCUGCAAAGGAGCUACCUGUUUUAACCCCUGACUAUACCAGUCUGUAUUUAUGUGUAUCAUACAUUGUUUCCAAUACUACUUCUAACUAUUAAUUAUUCAUUCACUAAGCUUGAUAAAUCUUUACAAAAGUUACCCUUUAAAAAAAUAGGACUAAGGUGGAUUUUAAAAAUUGGAAACUGACAUAAUGUUAGAUAUAAUUUCUCAUUUGAAAAGGUUAUUCCUUUUAAAAGAAGAGUGUAGAAAAUUAAUGUUUUAUAUUUAGUCAUGGGUUAUUUUUAAAAGUUUGUUAAUGUAUUAACAAAAUAUACAGAUGUGGGUGUUAAUUGUUGGGUCCCUUUUGAAAAGUAAGGUUUUUAAUUAAUAUUUGUAAAUGGUUUAUUUUUGUUUGUAACAAACCAUUGUCUCUUUUCAAGGAUGAACAGAGUUUAUGAAGGAGCAUCAUUCUAAGAAUUGAGUGAUGUAGUCUUAUAUUUGGACAAUUCACCAGAUUCUCAAGAAGGCUUUCAAACGACUGUAAAGUUUGAUGUUUAUCCUGCUGAGCUAAUGGGGAAAGUUGUAGCAUAAAAAUUAUUUGUAUACCAGCAUAGAUGUGUCAUUUUCCAAAACUUCAGCAGAAACCAAGCAAAGUGACAAAUCUUUUCACAAACUAGAAUUCUUUCUUAAUGAGUCAAAAUGUUUCGAAUGUCAUAAACUUUAUAAAUGAAAAUUGCCUAGUAUUUAGCAAGUUGUAUUCUCCAAAGUAAAAUGUUUCCAAAAGUUGAGGCAUUCUGUUUAGUUAGAAAAGUUGGUGGUCCUCUUAGUCCCUGAUGAAUCAAGGCAGUCACAUCCAUAUUAGCUGGUUGAAUUUGUAAGUUUUUACAAACACCAGGUCCUUUGUACCUUGAGGAUGAUUGCACUGGUUUGAAGUCAGUUACUUAAUGGUGAGGUAAGAAAUCUAUUCUGUUGCUAAAUCUGUUUUAGACCCAUAAAGAGACUUGAAAAUUUCAGUUUAUACAGAUAGAAAUUAAGCAUCUUUUGUGCAGACUUUUUUUUUUUUUUUAACAAGAAUUGGAAAAAAGGUGUUUGUUUUUAAGCAUGCAACUUUGAGAAUCUUU
rnacentral:lncRNA from 1 species